GAAGCAAGCUGUCUCUCUCCGUGCGAUUUCUUUCUCUCUGCGCGCAUAUUUUCCUUCCAAAUUCGCUGCCUUCCCUGCGAACUUUUGCUGCUCCAUUUCGCUGUCUCCUCCUCACGCCAGAAACCCAACGCUCGAUCACCGCCUGCCAGCACCGCUGCAGCCCACGAUCAUCUCUCCUUCAGCUGCUCCACUACUCCUUGCUCCCCACAGAACUGAUGCCAGCGAGGCCCCCAUCCAAACCGAGUCAACCUUCGUGGAUUUCUCUCCAGCAAAAGAACUGGUUUGUUGACUCUAGCUCCCUCCAGCAGCUUCGGCCACGUCCGCAUACCAUCAACGCCCCACCAGCGAUCAAGACUUUUCUCCGUGCAGCAGCUCACACGCAGCAGCUUCUUCAUUCGCGUGUCUCCAGCUCCAUCUUCGCCCGUGUGUCGUCCAGCAGCUUCCUCCGUGCGCCAGCGUCCAUCCAGCCCAUGUGAGACAGCCCAAAGUUCGGCCUCUUCAGCCCAGCGUCUUCAGAUCUUUGGCCCAGCAAAACCCUCAGCAGCUCACGCAUUUCACGGUCCAACCUUCAGCAGCAACUUGGCCCAAGAUUUUAACAAUUUGGCCCACUUGAAGCCAGCCCACAUUUCAGUCAAGAUCAGCCCACUAGUUCAAGUUCAGCAGCCCUUUUGAAUCCCAAGCCCGCAAAGUCCAGCCCGUGAAGACGGCCCAACUGCAACCAAGUCCAAGCCCAGUAAAUUUCAGUGGGCUUGCAAGGCCUUUGGGCCCGAUCCAAGCCUGUCAGUGUCGUCGAGAGCCCAAGUUUGGGCACCAUCGCGCCACCGUCGCAGUGUUCUGAUCUUUGCAAAUCAAGUGAGUUUUACUCACUAAUAUUUUUUUAGUUUUCUAAUUAUGUUAAGGGUUGAUUAUUGUUAAUUAAGUAUGAUUAUGUGGUUAUAUUAGAAUGGAUUAGUGAUUAUUAGAUAAUUGGGAUGCAUGUUAGAUAAUUGAAAUGGGCAAUUAGCAAGUAGAGACGUACUAUUAUUUAUUGAAUGCAUCUCGGGAUUUUUCCCGACCCGUCUUGGGCUUCAAUUAGGCAUUACGGGCCUAAGUUGGAUUUUUAGUAAUUAUUUAUUAAUUUUCGAAAUUAAUUAAUUAAUUAGUUAUUUUCCGAAAAUUAGGCAAGGAUAGAUGACGAUCGGAAUUUUAUACUGAUUGUCGUGGCGUAAUCCAUUUAUUUAAUUGAGCUUUAUUUCGUGCUGAAUUGAAUUAUUUAUAAAAGUGUGAAUCAUUCUUUAAUUGGAUAAUCGUUGGUUAUUAAUUGAAAAAUAAACAUGCAUCGGUUGAUAAUGCCAAAAAUAUUUGAGUAGACUACAGAAAGUGUGGGAGUUAUGGAAAGAAAAAUAUUAUAUUUUGGCUAAGGCCAACCGUGUACCCACAUACAAUAUUUUAUUGAGUAUGAUAAAAGAUGAGAAAAAAUGCUGUGUGACGUGGCUCGGCGACUAUUACAUCGCUUUGGCAUAUAGGAUGCCUUAGAGAGUGCAUGUAAAUUGCUGAAUAUAUAUUAGGCCUGUGUGGUGAUAAUUGAUCAUGCCUGUGUUGCAAUAAUUGAUCAUGCUUGUGUGACGUAGAUCGUGCCUGCGUGGUCGUAUUUUUGUGUGUUGAGUAUCAUGCCCGUGUGACCGAAAAUAAUUGGAAUGCCUGAGAGCAUGCACAUAAAGUGUUUAUUGUACAUCACAUUGGCAAAAACGGUGCCAGAGAGAGAAAGAAUAUAUGUGAUUUACAGACAUACGUGGUUCAGUGAUGAAGGAUAUUACUGGCGAAAACGGCUCCUUACAGAACGCAUGUAAUUGUCUAUUAUAUACGUCACCUUGGCGAAAACGACGCCCGAGAGCAUUAAUGUAGCUCUGUGACUAAGUAGUGUGAAGUGAGAUGACCUAGAAAUAGUCCGAUUGACUUGUAAUCGACUAGAUCAAUUAAUCGAGAUAUCGAUCUGUGAUGUGAUUGCUUGGUUACCUAUUGAACUGUGCUAAUGCAGGCGGAAUAUGAGGCCAAGGUAAGUCCUCUAACUUGCGCAUGCAUAGGCAGCCCGGUUAGCAUAUUGGUUUACUAAUUGAGUUUUAGAGAGUAGAAUUUGCUGAAACGUCAUCUCAAUGGUUAUUGUAUAACCAUUUCAAAGCCUUGAUGAGGAGCUCGAGGAGAAGGAACUUGAGGAGCAGAACCUUGAUGAAACCCGAGGAGGAGGAAGAUUUUGAAAAACAGGAUGAUCCUAAUGAGGAUCGUGAGUACGACCCGAAUGAAGACUAAGAUCCUAUCCCGUUUUGUGUGAACCUUGUGUUUCUAUGGACAGGUGUUAGGUCAGACCUAUGUUGAUAGUAUUGUAAAAUACUAUGAGUUGUGCUAUGUAUAGAAG
rnacentral:lncRNA from 1 species